rnacentral:tRNA from 1 species
GGAUCGAUGGUGCAGUGGUUAUCACGUCUGCUUUACACACCGAAGGUUCCCGGUUGGAACCUGGGUCGAGUCA